rnacentral:tRNA from 1 species
AGUGAGAUGGCUGAGUUAUAGGCGAUAAAUUGUAAAUUUAUUCACGGAUUAAAUCCUCUUGCUA